CAAUAGCGUAUAUUAAAGUUGUUGCGGUUAAAAAGCUCGUAGUUGGAUUUCUGCUGAGAACGACCGGUCCGCCCUUUGGGUGUGUAUCUGGCUCUUUCUUGGCAUCUUCUUGGUGAACGUUGCUGCACUUGACUGUGUGGAGCGCUACCCAGGACUUUUACUUUGAGGAAAUUAGAGUGCUUCAAGCAGGCACACGCCUUGAAUACAUUAGCAUGGAAUAAUAAGAUAGGACCUCGGUUCUAUUUUGUUGGUUUCUAGAGCUGAGGUAAUGAUUAAUAGGGAUAGUUGGGGGCAUUCGUAUUCAAUUGUCAGAGGUGAAAUUCUUGGAUUUAUGGAAGACGAACUACUGCGAAAGCAUUUACCAAGGAUGUUUUCAUUAA
rnacentral:rRNA from 1 species